rnacentral:rRNA from 1 species
UACGGAGGAUCCAAGCGUUAUCCGGAUUUAUUGGGUUUAAAGGGUGCGUAGGCGGGAGAUUAAGUCAGUGGUGAAAGUUUGCGGCUCAACCGUAAAUUGCCAUUGAUACUGGUUUUCUUGAGUACAGUUGAGGUAGGCGGAAUGUGGUGUGUAGCGGUGAAAUGCUUAGAUAUACCACAGAACGCCGAUUGCGAAGGCAGCUUACUAAGUUGUGACUGACGCUGAAGCACGAAAGCAUGGGGAUCAAACAGG